rnacentral:rRNA from 1 species
AGUGAACGCUGGCGGCAGGCCUAAUACAUGCAAGUCGAACGGCAGCACAGCAGAGCUUGCUCUGUGGGUGGCGAGUGGCGGACGGGUGAGGAAUACAUGGGAAUCUGCCCAGUCGUGGGGAUAACGUAGGGAAACUUACGCUAAUACCGCAUGCGCCCUUCGGGGGAAAGCCGGGGACCUUCGGGCCUGGCGCGAUUGGAUGAGCCCAUGUCGGAUUAGCUAGUUGGCGGGUAAUGGCCCACCAAGGCGACGAUCCGUAGCUGGUCUGAGAGGAUGAUCAGCCACACUGGAACUGAGACACGGUCCAGACUCCUACGGGAGGCAACAGUAGGGAAUAUUGGACAAUGGGCGCAAGCCUGAUCCAGCCAUGCCGCGUGAGUGAAGAAGGCCCUCGGGUUGUAAAGCUCUUUGUCCGGAAAGAAAAGCGCCGGGGUUAAAUACCCGUGGUGUCCUGACGGUACCGGAAGAAU